rnacentral:misc_RNA from 1 species
AAUUCUCAACUUUGCUUGUCUUUUUGUUCGAGCGAAGCUUGGAUUUUGGAGCGUGCUGGCGAAGGUCGGCUCCUCUUUAAAUGCAUUAGCGGAAAGGUCAUAUUCGACUUUUGCGGUGAAUCGGCGUGAUAAUGAUGUUGUUGCGUCGUUGGCCCAAAGGUCUCUGUCCGCUUACAAUGGUCUUCGGACGACUUUAUUAUGAA